CAGCUAGUUGGUAGGGUAACGGCCUACCAAGGCUUUGAUCGUUAGCUGGUCUGAGAGGAUGGCCAGCCACACUGGAACUGAGACACGGUCCAGACUCCUACGGGAGGCAGCAGUGGGGAAUCUUGCACAAUGGGCGAAAGCCUGAUGCAGCGACGCCGCGUGGGGGAUGAAGCAUCUCGGUGUGUAAACCCCUUUCGACUGGGACGAAUGCCUCGCAAGAGGAGUGACGGUACCAGUAGAAGAAGCCCCGGCUAACUACGUGCCAGCAGCCGCGGUAAGACGUGGGGGGCCAGCGUUGUUCGGAAUUACUGGGUGUAAAGGGUUCGUAGGCGGUGUGGCAAGUUGGGAGUGAAAUCUCUGGGCUCAACCCAGAGACUGCUUCCAAAACUGCUGUGCUUGAGUGUGGGAGAGGCGCGUGGAAUUGCAGGUGUAGCGGUGAAAUGCGUAGAUAUCUGCAGGAACACCCGUGGCGAAAGCGGCGCGCUGGACCACAACUGACGCUGAGGAACGAAAGCUAGGGGAGCAAACAGGAUUAGAUACCCUGGUAGUC
rnacentral:rRNA from 1 species